AUCGCUUCUCGGCCUUUUGGCUAAGAUCAAGUGAAGCACCCUUGCAUCCCAGGGAUAAAUCCCACUUCAUCAUGGUGAAUAAUCUUCUUAAUAUACUGUUGGAUCCUAUUGGCUAGUAUAUUGGAGAGAAUUUUGGCAUACAUGUUUAUUCAUCAAGGAUAUUUUUCUAUAUUUCUACUUUUUGGUGGGGUCUUU